rnacentral:rRNA from 1 species
CCGUAGGUGAACCUGCGGAAGGAUCAUUACCACACCUAAAAACUUCCCCCGUGAACCGUAUCAACCCUUUUUUAUUGGGGGCUGCUGACUGGACUGGCUUCGGCUGGACUGGGUGGCGGCUCUAGCGCGACCGUUCUGGGCUUCGGCUUGGGGCUAGUAGCUUUCUUUUUAAACCCAUUCUUAAUUUACUGAAAUACUGUGGGGACGAAAGUCUCUGCUUUUAACUAGAUAGCAACUUUCAGCAGUGGAUGUCUAGGCUCGCACAUCGAUGAAGAACGCUGCGAACUGCGAUACGUAAUGCGAAUUGCAGGAUUCAGUGAGUCAUCGAAAUUUUGAACGCAUAUUGCACUUCCGGGUUCGUCCUGGAAGUAUGCCUGUAUCAGUGUCCGUACAAUAAACUUGGCUCCCUUCCUUCCGUGUAGUCGGUGGAUGGGGAUGCCAGAUGUGAAGUGUCUUGCGACUGGACUUUGAUCUAGAUGCGAGUCCUUUUAAAUGUACUAAAACUGUAUUCUCUUUGCUCGAAAAGCGUGACGUUGCUGGUUGUGGAGGCUGCCUGUAUGGCCAGUCGGCGACCGGUUUGUCUGCUGCGGUGUUUAUGGAGAAGUGUUUAAUUCGCGGUAUGGUUGGCUUCGGCUGAACAAUGCGCUUAUUAAAUGUUUUUCUUACUGUGGCGGAUAGACUGGUGAACCGUAGCUGUGUAGGCUUGGCCUUUGAACCGGUGAUAUUGUGCGAAGUAGAGUGACGGCUGUUCCGGCGCAAGCUGGGGUGGCUGUCGAGGGUCGAUCCAUUUGGGAAAUGUUGUGCCGUUGCGACCUCGGUUGCUUUGGCAUCUCAAUUGGACCUGAUAUCAGGCAAGAUUACCCGCUGAACUU